rnacentral:rRNA from 1 species
AACGAACGCUGGCGGCAGGCCUAACACAUGCAAGUCGAGCGGGACUAUUUACUUCGGUUUAUAGUCUAGCGGCGGACGGGUGAGGAACACGUGGGAACAUACCUUUCGGUAAGGAAUAGCCUCGGGAAACUGGGAGUAAUACCUUAUACGUCCUUAGGGAGAAAGAUUUAUCGCCGAGAGAUUGGCCCGCGUUGGAUUAGCUAGUUGGUGGGGUAAGAGCCUACCAAGGCAACGAUCUAUAGCUGGUUUGAGAGGAUGAUCAGCCACACUGGGACUGAGACACGGCCCAGACUCCUACGGGAGGCAGCAGUGAGGAAUAUUGGACAAUGGGGGCAACCCUGAUCCAGCCAUGCCGCGUGAGUGAAGAAGGCCCUAGGGUUGUAAAGCUCUUUCAGAUGUGAAGAUGAUGACCGUAGCAUCAAAAGAAGCCCCGGCUAACUUCG